rnacentral:lncRNA from 1 species
AAGAUGGAAGAGGAAGAGAAAGAGAGAAAGAGAGAGAAAGGAAACUGAGGCCAUCUCUGUGAGGUCCCUGCAGACAGCACUCACACACUUCAUACACACUUAUGCACACACUCACACACACACACACACAGGCAAAUUUCAUACACAUUUGUCCACACACACACACACACUCACAGAGACAUACACACUCACAGACACACACUCACACACACACACACACACACACACACACACAGAGACAUACACACACUCACAGAGAUAUACACACACACACACUCUCACACACACACACACACACACACACACACACAGAGACAAACACACACACACACUCACAGAGAUAUACACACACACUCUCACACACACACACACACACUCACACACACACUCACAGAGACCCAGUGGAAAGCCACAUCACACAGCUCCACUUCAGAAAAAACAACAGAGAGCAAGAAAAUCUUUUCUGUCCAAAGCCCACAUCAGAGCUGUGACUGGGACACACACACACACACAAACACACACACACACACACACACACACACACACUCUCUCUCACACACACACACACACACACACACACACACACACACACACACACACAUAUCCACUCCUUUUCAUCCUUUUUCCUGUCUUCUCUUCUUCUCUCCUCUCUUUUUCUCUAUUCUCCUCUCCCUUCUCUUUGUCUUUCUCUUUUGCUCUUUACCAUCUCCUCUCCUAUCAUCUUUCUCUCAAUCCAUCUCUCCUCCUCUCUUCUCCUCCUCCUCUUCUCCUCCUCCUCCUCCUCCUCUCCUCCCCUUCUCCUCUCCUCCUCUCUCUGUUGGAUAGAUCAGGCCUCGCAGGCCUUUUGGGUGUUUUUCUUAAGUUUCCUGAGAAGAGGACCUGCAGUCCAGACGCUGAAAUAUUAUGGGAUGUGGUCAGGGCGAAUACCAGGAGUUCUAGAAGAGGCCACAGACACACACACACACACACACACACACACACACACACAUGCGUAUACACACAUACCCAUACACAACCCAAACAUAAAUUUGUCAUGGCUUUAAAUUGCUCUUAAAGAAAGUGAUGCUGUGUUUUU